rnacentral:rRNA from 1 species
UAGGGAAUCUUCCGCAAUGGACGAAAGUCUGACGGAGCAACGCCGCGUGAGUGAAGAAGGAUUUCGGUUCGUAAAACUCUGUUGUUAGGGAAGAAAAAAUGUAUAGUAACUAUAUACAAAAGAGACGGUACCUAACCAGAAAGCCACGGCUAACUACGUGCCAGCAGCCGCGGUAAUACGUAGGUGGCAAGCGUUGUCCGGAAUUAUUGGGCGUAAAGCGCGCGCAGGUGGUUUAGAAAGUCUGAUGUGAAAGCCCACGGCUCAACCGUGGAGGGUCAUUGGAAACUAAUAAACUUGAGUGCAGGAGAGAAAAGUGGAAUUCCUAGUGUAGCGGUGAAAUGCGUAGAGAUUAGGAGGAACACCGGUGGCGAAUGCGGCUUUUUGGCCUGCAACUGACAAUGAGACGCGAAAGCGUGGGGAGCAAACAGG